AAGCUGUGAUGAUAAAUGCGCUCCAUGUGUUGGAUGGGUCCUUCGCAACUAUUCUGAUAUAUCAGAACAUAUAGCAGCGCUUCUGAGCUU